rnacentral:lncRNA from 1 species
UCCAAGGCGACAGUCGGGUUCAUUUUGGGCUAAACUGGGAGGGGGAGAGGAAAGCACAGCCCAUGCUCAUCUGAGGAGGAGUCUCCCCACUUCUCCACUGUGGCUCCGCCCGGGUGGGAAGGAGAGAGCCUUUGGCACAGGGGUGUGCGUGUGAAGUCGGGUCUCAUCCAGGUGCCUGCGCUUCUUCCAAGAUCCUAAUGAAAACUCCCAAGCGCAGGAAAACGAGGACCACGUGUCCACGGCCUGUUGACGGGAGCGGGGGACGCGGGCGUCUGGGCUUGGCCGCCAGGCACAGCUGCGUGGGCAGCGGCGCCGCUAGCCCGGCCUGCCCCGUCCUGCGGCUUCUUUACACACGGUGGGUUCCAGUCUCUUCAAGUCAGGACUCUCCUCUUCCUGAGAGUCUGAUUCGAGUUCUGGGCCCUCACUUCUGAAACGUGCGGCGGACACUCACCUGCUGGAGCCCCGGGUCAAUCGGGUGCCGAGGUGGACCUCGAGCGUGCAGCCUUUGGGUGCUCGCCGGCUGGACUCGAACUCCGUGCUCUGACAUGAUGAAAUGGAGUGAGCUGCGAGGCGGCCUAUGAUCACAGCCAACCGUGAGAAUGCUGAUGUCUUCGUGCACUGCAUUCGCCACUUACAAACUCGGCCCUAGGGCCGGGGUUUAGUUCAGUGGUGCCGCCGCCUGCCCUGCAAGUGCAAGGACCGAGUUCGAUCUCCGUACCAAAAAGAAAAAAUAUCAUCACUGAGACUGCUGGGUGAUAUUGCGGCAGACAAUCCCUUUUGUGGGGACCACUCUGAAAUAUGGCCCUUCUGUUGCUUAAUCUAAAAUACCUUUUUUAUUCUUGUUUUGGUCGAGUGGUGUAUUUUGAAAAGUCCUGCAUGCCUAUUCUUUGCAGGGCAGGAAUUUUGGGUUGCAGGCUACAUAGAGGGCCCUUUGCAUUAUGUGACCUGAAACCACAUUUCUCCCCAAGUACUCUUUGGAACUUUCUCCUAAAAAUAACUCCAGAAAAAGGUCUUGUCAAAAGCCAUUAAAU